GCCUCCAACUUCGUUGAAAACUGCGAGACUUAAAAACGUGACAAGGACUGCUCACUUUUGAUUUUUCCCCAUAGAAUAUAUCCUUUAUCUCAAAUCUUAAUGAUGCAGAUGACAAGGCAUAUAUAAUAGUUGCAUUUUCUUUUUAUAAAUCAUAUGAUUUUAAAGAUUUAUAAUUUUUUAAACAUUUAAUUAAAUGUUAAGAAAUUCAUAUAAACAACCCCAAAUAGCUUGAGAUUAACUUAGUAUUAUUUGUCUGUCUCUUGGUACAA
rnacentral:misc_RNA from 1 species